rnacentral:rRNA from 1 species
UACAGAGGGUGCAAGCGUUAAUCGGAAUUACUGGGCGUAAAGCGCACGUAGGUGGCUUGAUAAGUUGGGUGUGAAAUCCCCGGGCUUAACCUGGGAAUUGCAUUCAAGACUGUCUUGCUAGAGUGUGGAAGAGGGAAGCGGAAUUCCAAGUGUAGCGGUGAAAUGCGUAGAUAUCUGGAGGAACAUCAGUGGCGAAGGCGGCUUCCUGGUCCAACACUGACACUGAGGUGCGAAAGCGUGGGGAGCAAACAGG